UAAAUUGUUCAUUAAUUGUGAACUGGAAUGAAGGAAAAAAUGGUUUAGAACUGUCUUAAAAUUAUAUAUUUAAUUUAAAUUUUUUGUAAAAAUACAAAAAUAUUUUUUAGGGACAAGAAGACCCUAUAAAGCUUUAUUGAUUUUGUUUAUAUAUUUUAAACUAUAUUUCAUUUGAUUGGGGCAAUAAUUUAUAUACAAUCAAUAUAAAUAAAAUUUAUAAUUUAAUUAUUUUAAUAUAAUGAUCCAUUAUUAAUGAAAAAAUGAUUAAGUUACUUUAGGGAUAACAGGAUAAUUUUUAUUAGAAAGUUCUUAUUAAUAAUAAAGUUUAUUACCUCGAUGUUGAAUUAAUUUAAUUUAAUGGUGAAGUAGCUUUUUGAGUUUGACUGUUCGUCAAUUAAAUAAUUACAUGAUCUGAGUUC
rnacentral:rRNA from 1 species